rnacentral:rRNA from 1 species
CUACGGGUGGCAGCAGUGAGGAAUAUUGCACAAUGGGGGGAACCCUGAUGCAGCAACGCCGCGUGGAGGAUGACGCAUUUCGGUGUGUAAACUCCUUUUAUAUGUCAAGAAAAUGACGGUAGCAUAUGAAUAAGCACCGGCUAACUCCGUGCCAGCAGCCGCGGUAAUACGGAGGGUGCAAGCGUUACUCGGAAUCACUGGGCGUAAAGGACGCGUAGGCGGGUUGGAAAGUCAGGUGUGAAAUCCUACAGCUUAACUGUAGAACUGCACUUGAAACUUCUAAUCUAGAGUAUGGGAGAGGGAGAUGGAAUUAGUGGUGUAGGGGUAAAAUCCGUAGAUAUCACAAGGAAUACCGAAAGCGAAGGCGAUCUCCUGGAACAUUACUGACGCUAAGGCGUGAAAGCGUGGGGAGCAAACAGGAUUAGAUACCCCCGUAGUC